rnacentral:rRNA from 1 species
AGAACGAACGCUGGCGGCAUGCCUAAUACAUGCAAGUCGAACGAACACUUCGGUGUUAGUGGCGCACGGGUGCGUAACGCGUGGGAAUCUGCCCUUGGGUUCGGAAUAACAGUUGGAAACGACUGCUAAGUACCGGAUGAUAUACGAAAGAUCAAAGAUUUAUCGCCCAGGGAUGAGCCCGCGUAGGAUUAGGCUAGUUGGUGAGGUAAAGGCUCACCAAGGCGACGAUCCUUAGCUGGUCUGAGAGGAUGGAAUCAGCCACACUGGGACUGAGACACGGCCCAGACUCCGUACGGGACGGCACGCAGUAGGGGAAUAGUUGGACAAGUGGGCGACCAAAGGCCUGAUCCAGCGAAUUGCCGCGUGAGUGAUGAAGGCCUUAGGGUUAGUAAAG